UACGUAGGGGGCAAGCGUUGUCCGGAUUUAUUGGGCGUAAAGGGUGCGUAGGCGGCGGAGUAAGUUGGGUGUGAAAUCCCGGGGCUCAACCUCGGAAUGGCAUUCAAUACUGCUUCGCUAGAGUACUGGAGAGGAGGCUGGAAUUUACGGUGUAGCAGUGAAAUGCGUAGAUAUCGUAAGGAAGGCCGGUGGCGAAAGCGAGCCUCUGGACAGUUACUGACGCUGAUGCACGAAGGCCAGGGGAGCAAACGGG
rnacentral:rRNA from 1 species